rnacentral:rRNA from 1 species
GGAAUCUUCCACAAUGGGCGAAAGCCUGAUGGAGCAACGCCGCGUGUGUGAUGAAGGCUUUCGGGUCGUAAAGCACUGUUGUAUGGGAAGAACAGCUAGAAUAGGAAAUGAUUUUAGUUUGACGGUACCAUACCAGAAAGGGACGGCUAAAUACGUGCCCG